CCGGCUUUUAACAUUUACAGCUCAUAAAGACUAACUAUAACCGUCUUUAUUUCUCAAUCCGAAAACGCUUCGGAUAAGGAUAACCCCAUCCUCAUCGAAUUCUAAGAACAGUCGCUAUAUAAAGAUCUUACAAGUUACACCAAUCUCACCAAAACCCAUAAGACGUUUACUUUCAUCAUUACCACCAAAUCAAGCCCAAAAAUCAUCAUGAAGUCUCUCCUCUCUGAUUUCCGCUCUUGCUACCGCGCGGGGACGUCGAAGCGGCGACCACCUUCUCCUGCUCAGGAGGCGCGUACUGAUCACGCGCCGCCCUCGCGGAGGUUGAGUUCCCCGAAAUUGGAGUCGUCUGCAGGUACGCAGUGGCGGCCGGCUCUCAACGCAAUCUUGGAGGAUGGGGAUGCUACUCCUAAUAGUUCUAAAGGCAGAUCAUCAUCCAAGACUACAGUGGCCAAGUCCCGCAGUGUUGCUAGCAUUGACCAAGUCAAGGCGCCGGUGAUGAUUCCGUCGGCUUACUGGGCGACGCCGUUUAUGUUCUGAUCCGUCCGGAGAUAUAUAAAUAUUAGGGCGGCGAUCAGUUUUACCGCUGGUUCUGUAUGCACAUAGUUUUGUUGGUUGUACUUGUACAGUUGUACAUUGUGGGCACAAAGGAUGAAGCAAUUUUUACUUUUAACCCUUUGCUGUUUUUAUGGUGAAUUUGAUUUUUACUGUUUAGUUUAGUUAUUGAGAGAUGAAUCAAAUCUAGGCUAGUGGUGAACACUGGUCGGAUCUCGAAUCCAUUAUUAUGGUCUUAUUGUCGCCCGUUUUGGGUAAACUCGAAAGAUUUGAUAUGUAUUAUUUAGCUUAAUGAAUAUAAGUUAUUUCGGGCGACCC
rnacentral:lncRNA from 1 species